rnacentral:rRNA from 1 species
GACGAACGCUGGCGGCGUGCUUAACACAUGCCAGUCGAACGAAGAGCGAUGGAAGCUUGCUUCUAUCAAUCUUAGUGGCGAACGGGUGAGUAACGCGUAAUCAACCUGCCCUUCAGAGGGGGACAACAGUUGGAAACGACUGCUAAUACCGCAUACGAUCCAAUAUCGGCAUCGGGACUGGAUGAAAGGUGGCCUCUAUUUAUAAGCUAUCACUGAAGGAGGGGAUUGCGUCUGAUUAGCUAGUUGGAGGGGUAACGGCCCACCAAGGCGAUGAUCAGUAGCCGGUCUGAGAGGAUGAACGGCCACAUUGGGACUGAGACACGGCCCAGACUCCUACGGGAGGCAGCAGUGGGGAAUCUUCCGCAAUGGACGAAAGUCUGACGGAGCAACGCCGCGUGAGUGAUGACGGCCUUCGGGUUGUAAAGCUCUGUUAAUCGGGACGAAUGGUUCUUGUGCGAAUAGUGCGAGGAUUUGACGGUACCGGAAUAGAAAGCCACGGCUAACUACGUG